AGCAGCCGCGGUAAUUCCAGCUCCAAUAGCGUAUAUUAAAGUUGUUGCAGUUAAAAAGCUCGUAGUUGAAUUUCGGGAUUUAUCCGUCGGUCGGGCUUUUGGGUCUGUACUGGCGUGAUGGAUUCCUACCUUCUGAAUAACCGGCAUGUCAUUAAUUUGGUGCGCUGGGGAAGCAGGACUGUUACCUUGAAAAAAUUAGAGUGCUUAAAGCAGGCUAUUGCCUGAAUACAUUAGCAUGGAAUAAUGAAAUAGGACGGCAUGGUUCUAUUUUGUUGGUUUCUAGGAUCACCGUAAUGAUUAAUAGGGAUAGUUGGGGGCAUUAGUAUUCAAUUGUCAGAGGUGAAAUUCUUGGAUUUAUUGAAGACUAACUUCUGCGAAAGCAUUUGUCAAGGAUGUUUUCAUUAAUCAAGAACGAAAGUUAGGGGAUCGAAGACGAUCAGAUACCGUCGUAGUCUUAACCAUAAACUAUGCCGACUAGGGAUCGGACGAUGUUAAUUUUUUAAUGACUCG
rnacentral:rRNA from 1 species